rnacentral:rRNA from 1 species
AGAACGAACGCUGGCGGCAUGCCUAAUACAUGCAAGUCGAACGAACUCUUCGGAGUUAGUGGCGCACGGGUGCGUAACGCGUGGGAAUCUGCCCCUUGGUUCGGAAUAACAGUUGGAAACGACUGCUAAUACCGGGUGAUGACGAAAGUCCAAAGAUUUAUCGCCAAGGGAUGAGCCCGCGUAGGAUUAGCUAGUGGUGAGGUAAAGGCUCACCAAGGCAACGAUCCUUAGCUGGUCUGAGUAGGACGAUCAGCCACACUGGGACUGAGACACGGCCCAGACUCCUACGGGAGCAGCAGUAGGGAAUAUUGGACAAGUGGGACGAAAGCCUGAUCCAGUCAAUCGCGCGUAGAGUGAUGGAAGGUCCUUAGGUAGUAA